rnacentral:rRNA from 1 species
GAACGAACGCUGGCGGCAUGCCUACCACAUGCAAGUCGAACGAGACCUUCGGGUCUAGUGGCGCACGGGUGCGUAACGCGUGGGAACCUGCCCUUAGGUUCGGAAUAACUCCCCGAAAGGGGUGCUAAUACCGGAUAAUGUCUUCGGACCAAAGAUUUAUCGCCUUUGGAUGGGCCCGCGUUGGAUUAGCUAGUUGGUAGGGUAAAAGCCUACCAAGGCGACGAUCCAUAGCUGGUCUUAGAGGAUGAUCAGCCACACUGGGACUGAGACACGGCCCAGACUCCUACGGGAGGCAGCAGUGGGGAAUAUUGGACAAUGGGCGAAAGCCUGAUCCAGCAAUGCCGCGUGAGUGAUGAAGGCCUUAGGGUUGUAAAGCUCUUUUACCCGGGAUGAUAAUGACAGUACCGGGAGAAUAAGCUCCGGCUAACUCCGUG